rnacentral:misc_RNA from 1 species
AGCAGCCGCGGUAAUUCCAGCUCCAAUAGCGUAUAUUAAAGUCGUUGCAGUUAAAAGCUCGUAGUUGAAUUUCGGGAUCAGUACGCUGGUCGUGCCUUCGGUAUGUACUGGUGUUACUGGUUCCUACCUUCUGACGAACCGUCAUGUCAUUAAUUUGGUGUGGCGGGGAAUCAGGACUGUUACUUUGAAAAAUUAGAGUGUUUAAAGCAGGCUCGCGCUUGAAUACAUUAGCAUGGAAUAAUGAAAUAGGACGUUCGAUCCUAUUUUGUUGGUUUCUAGGAUUGACGUAAUGAUUAAUAGGGAUAGUUGGGGGCAUUAGUAUUCAAUUGUCAGAGGUGAAAUUCUUGGAUUUAUUGAAGACUAACUACUGCGAAAGCAUUUGCCAAGGAUGUUUUCAUUAAUCAAGAACGAAAGUU